rnacentral:rRNA from 1 species
GAAUAUUGGACAAUGGGCGAAAGCCUGAUCCAGCCAUGCCGCGUGAGUGAAGAAGGCCUUCGGGUUGUAAAGCUCUUUCAGUCGGGAAGAAACGGGGUGCUCUAACAUAGCGCCUUACUGACGGUACCGACAGAAGAAGCACCGGCUAACUACGUGCCAGCAGCCGCGGUAAUACGUAGGGUGCGAGCGUUAAUCGGAAUUACUGGGCGUAAAGCGUGCGCAGGCGGUUGUGUAAGACAGGUGUGAAAUCCCCGGGCUUAACCUGGGAAUGGCGCUUGUGACUGCACGGCUAGAGUACGGCAGAGGGGGGUGGAAUUCCACGUGUAGCAGUGAAAUGCGUAGAGAUGUGGAGGAACACCGAUGGCGAAGGCAGCCCCCUGGGCCGAUACCGACGCUCAUGCACGAAAGCGUGGGGAGCAAACAGG